rnacentral:rRNA from 1 species
GGUUGUAAACCUCUUUCAGUAGGGAAGAAGCGAAAGUGACGGUACCUGCAGAAGAAGCGCCGGCUAACUACGUGCCAGCAGCCGCGGUAAUACGUAGGGCGCAAGCGUUGUCCGGAAUUAUUGGGCGUAAAGAGCUCGUAGGCGGUUUGUCGCGUCUGGUGUGAAAACUCAAGGCUCAACCUUGAGCUUGCAUCGGGUACGGGCAGACUAGAGUGUGGUAGGGGUGACUGGAAUUCCUGGUGUAGCGGUGGAAUGCGCAGAUAUCAGGAGGAACACCGAUGGCGAAGGCAGGUCACUGGGCCACUACUGACGCUGAGGAGCGAAAGCAUGGGGAGCGAACAGGAUUAGAUACCCUGGUAGUCC